rnacentral:rRNA from 1 species
UACGUAGGGCGCAAGCGUUGUCCGGAAUUAUUGGGCGUAAAGAGCUCGUAGGCGGCUUGUCGCGUCUGCUGUGAAAACCUAAGGCUCAACCUUGGGCUUGCAGUGGGUACGGGCAGACUAGAGUGCGGUAGGGGUGACUGGAAUUCCUGGUGUAGCGGUGGAAUGCGCAGAUAUCAGGAGGAACACCGAUGGCGAAGGCAGGUCACUGGGCCGCAACUGACGCUGAGGAGCGAAAGCAUGGGGAGCGAACAGG